GUCGCUUUGGCGGUACAUAUACUAAAAUUGGAACGAUACAGAGAAGAUUAGCAUGGCUCCUGCGCAAGGAUGACACGAAAUAUAAAAAUAAAGAAGAAGUGGUC